ensembl:lncRNA
GGUCAGCUCUUUUGUUCACGAACAGGCUCUGACUGUGCUUUCAUGCUGUCUGUAGGGCUCGGUCACGCCCAGGCACGCUUCAUCCUUCCCGCUACACUGACUCUGGCAAGACGAUGUCUAUCUGCCAGCCCCGGGUCCGACGUUGACAUUGCAGGAAGAUUGCCCUUGCCACACCUGCCCAGAUCUGCCAGGGGGGUGUCCUUUUGUGCAGCAUCAUUUCAAUAUUCACCUGUUUGGUGUCUGCAGCACUGAAUGGCAUCGUUCCUUCUCUGACACCCAGGGAACUGGAAAAUGGCAGACUUGGGAUUUCAUCACACUGGCAUGAUUGACUGAAUCAUCUGGAACAUACAAGGAUGGGGAUUCUGGGACACAUAGAAUGGAGACACCCUGGGAGAAGAAGUCACAGGACACAAGCCUAGACUCUAACUAGAGUCCAGCGGGUUUCUGGUCCUUCCUCUGCAUCUAACUUUUCUCAUCCUUAACUGACUCAAACCUCCAAUGCAGUAAAGC